CAUGCCAGGCCCCACCCCCUCAGCUUCCCACCUGACUGACAGGGCCAAAAGGGAUCCUCUCCCCCCAACCUCUGGUUCUGCCAUGCCCAGCCCUCAGCGACCCCAUCUCUUCUCCCACUCAUUACACUUUGGCCUCUUCCAGAAGCUGAUCGAGGGCAUCCAGGUGGUGCAGGGUGCUAUCACCCAGUGCCGAGCUAUGCUGAUCAGGGACUGCAGGCUCAGCCUUUGGGGCCAGUCCAGUACAGAACAGGAAGGAACCCACACUGGAGGCAGGAACACUGGCUGGGACCACAGGGGCUGGGAAGGGAGGCAGCAGUGGAGCUUGGGAGUUGCCUGAGGAGAGGGCCGAGGCCUGGAGCAGAGAAGCCUCUGAGGCGCUACAGGCAGCAGGCCCCGGCUUGGGGCUGAAGAAGUCCACGUUGGACUGUUCACUCUGUGGGCAAUGGAAAGCGCAGGUAAGCAAAGGCUGGGGAGGGCCUGCUGCAGGUGGCAAGGGGCGUAGCCCUGCAGGCACUGGCCCUCUUCCACCAGGGGCAUUGGAGGUGUGCAACCCUGCUGGACCAGCAGCCCUCCAAGGAUGGGGCUGAGAAGAGCCCCUGGAGGCAAUCAACCCAUCUCCCAGCCACGCUGGGCAGCACUCAGGAGGGCAGGGACAGCCCGGGCCCCAGCUGACUGUAGCCAAGAACCCAUCAGGAGAGAUGAGGCUGAAACCCAGACAUAAAAAAAAUCACAACUGCAAAGGCCCUCAGAGAUCAUGUGAUCUGGCAUUCAUGACCAGAAAACAAAGAGGAUCCUGAACGUGCCGUGGUCAGUUACUGACAGCACUGGACCAGAGCACACGUCUGUGUAGACGAUCAGCCCUGUGAGGCCAGCUCUACCUGAGGGCGGGCCUACCUUCAUGAGCUCUUUAUCUCCCUCUGAAGAGUCCUCUCGGCUGUAGUGAAGCAGCAUCUCGCUGAGCAGUUUCACGUUGUUGUUGACCUCCUCUAACGUGUGCAGACGCUUGGUCACCUUCUGGAUCCGCGCCUCGUCCUGCCCAUCAGCGAGGAUCAGGAGAAAGAGAGCUCAAAAGUUUGUCUUCCCACUCCCACCAGGCGAGGGCCACACCUUACCCCGCAACAUAAGCACAGGGGUGUGGUUCCUGGGACCCAAUCUAUAGUCCUUUCACAGCAACACCCUCCCUAACCCUCCUGUGCUCCUCCCUUCUAUGCUCUUCCAGAAGCCACAAUGCUCCUCCUUCCAGCCUCAGCUUCCCCCUGGACGGGCUGGCAGCAGGGGGAACAAAAGAGGCCCGAUAUCCAGGGAAGAAGCGGCUUCUUCUGCCCUGUGUGCAUGACACCUCCACCCCAUAUCCAAAGGACCAGGGCCCACUCACUUCCUUCACCAUGGACUUGAUCAGCUUGUUGGCCUCUUGCAAGUCAUCUGGGUUUUUGCUUUUCAGCAACUUGGCUAAAAGCUGGAAGAGGGCAUCAAAGUUCUUCAUACACGCCUCCAGCACCUGCAGCCACACAGAGAGGGGCUCAGUGAGAUGCACCUGACACCCAGCAGUGCUAAAUAAACGCCCCAGAUGGAGGAACUCACCAUGGAAAGCAGCCCGCACCGCCCUCCACCCUGGGAGCAGCGCAGGCUAAACAGCUGGCUCACACAACUGCAAGCCUCUGCUGGGGAAGGACUCGGAUGUAGUCAGGGCAGGAGCCCAGGUUCCUCAGAACUCCGCUGCUCUCUGGUCUAGGGAGAGCCUGGAGGUACCUGAGUGCCACAUAUGGCUCCAUGUGUUCAACUCCCUCAGUCUGAAUGAACUCUAAGAUCUGCCCUGUGGCCUCACCCAGCAGCUCAACACUUCACUAAUAACCGGCAUUAUAUUUAACUACACAACAAAUGGUACUCACUUCCCUUUUCUUCAGCCGGCCUACUUAACUGUCAGGACAGCUCUGUGGGCAUCGCUUUUUCAUUUUUGAACUUCUACCACAGAGGAAUUGUGAGCAUCUCUUCAAGAAGCCUUCUCUGCCCCAUGCUGGGCUUAGGGCCCCUGCCUGCGGGCUCCCCGCCUCCACACCUCUGCCUCUCACGCUGACCACGUGGCCAUGCUGGCAGGGAAAGCACCGCAGUCACCUUCGAAGCCCCAGUGAUGGGCACAGCGCACACGUGUGGAAUGGCUGACUGGACAUGUUCUAGCUAUAGUUUGUAUGAAGGACUUUCUGCUAGCUUUUGGUUGGGCAUGAGCCCUGAGAACCACCGAGACCCCAAUGGAUACGUAAGGAAGGGUCUGGACAGGUGAAGUGCCACUGCUCUCAUCUCUAGAGUAAAGAACCUACCGUCAGGGCCUGGACCGCCUCCCAUUCCUGUGGAGACUGGAUCUUGUGGGCCAACAGUCGGACAGCGAUCUGUGGCCUGGGGGACAAGCAGACCACAGUUUCAGUACGAUGGCCGUGGGGCCAUCUGGCUAGCCCCGCUUUGGCCAGUUUUUGACUUUCCUAGUCAGCCCUCUCUCACCUGCCCAGUUAAGAGCGCUAAGACUUACCCUUCAAGCUCUUUGUUGAUCUGAUCACAGAAGCCAAUUAUGUAUUCCCAGUCCUCCUGGCGGUUGGAAGGAUUGGUGGCUUUAUCUUGGGAUAGAGCAAAGAAAAGGACAAUUGUUAUAAAGAGCAAGGAGGAUGCAACAGACGUUUUCUUCACAAUUUUUUUUUCUCCCUCUCCUCCCUUCUUCACAAUUUUUAGGCAGUAAAAUUUUGUUUCCAAAUUUAUUCUCUAAUAGAGAAGCCUCAAUAGU